UGGGCUGCUUGCUCUUGAAGCCUUCAGUCUCUAUGCACGCAGCAUGCCUUCCCAGCCUCCUGUGGUUGUAGAGUGUAUAGAAGGCAGUUGGAUCACUAUGGACAGCGGGUAAGAGCUGAGGAAGCAGCCUCCGCCAGGUGGUAACAUGGAGGACCCUGAAGGGAGCACAGUGCAGAGAAGAGCCCAGAAUUUUGUGAAUGUCCAACUUAGAGCUCAACAUUUCCAUUUGGAUGUUUAAUAGGCAGCAGGCCAAUUAAAUCAAGCAUAUUCCUCAGUAUCAUGGAGAGACUGGAGGUUAGAGACACCAAAACCAUCCCUGGCUUAAUGACUUUGGGAUCCCUGGGCCCCUCCAUGCAGCAGAACGGCAAUUAACCAAGCAAAGGAAGAGAGGGCAGCA
rnacentral:lncRNA from 1 species